GCCUAGGUGGCUCAGUCAGUUGAGCGUCUGACUUUGGCUCAGAUCAUGAUCUCGCAGUUCGUGAGUUUGAGCCCCGCAUCAGGCU
rnacentral:tRNA from 1 species